rnacentral:hammerhead_ribozyme from 1 species
AGCAGCUGACGAGUCCCAAAUCAGACGAAACGCGCGUCCUGGAU